GAUGAACGCUGGCGGCGUGCCUAAUACAUGCAAGUAGAACGCUGAAGGAAGGAGCUUGCUCUUUCCGGAUGAGUUGCGAACGGGUGAGUAACGCGUAGGUAACCUGCCUGGUAGCGGGGGAUAACUAUUGGAAACGAUAGCUAAUACCGCAUAACAGUAGAUGUUGCAUGAUAUCUACUUAAAAGGUGCAAUUGCACCACUACCAGAUGGACCUGCGUUGUAUUAGCUAGUUGGUGAGGUAACGGCUCACCAAGGCGACGAUACAUAGCCGACCUGAGAGGGUGAUCGGCCACACUGGGACUGAGACACGGCCCAGACUCCUACGGGAGGCAGCAGUAGGGAAUCUUCGGCAAUGGACGGAAGUCUGACCGAGCAACGCCGCGUGAGUGGAGAAGGUUUUCGGAUCGUAAAGCUCUGUUGUAAGAGAAGAACGAGUGUGAGAGUGGAAAGUUCACACUGUGACGGUAUCUUACCAGAAAGGGACGGCUAACUACGUG
rnacentral:rRNA from 1 species